rfam:Picea glauca, whole genome shotgun sequence.
UCCGUUGUCGUGUAGUUCGGUUAGGACACCUGGUUUUCACCCAGGCGACCCAGGUUCAAAUCCCGGCAACGGAA